GAAGUUGCAAAAAUCUUAUACUAGGUUUAUUGUGUUUUUGUUACUUAGGUAACUAUGACGAUAAACGAAUCUCGUAAUAAACAUUACGGACGUGGGGGCAGUACCCACCACCUCCACCAUUCAUAAUUUAUGGGGGUGAAUUAGGAUCGACGGGUGUCUAAAAGUUAUUCUUUCGUACGAGAUGGUUCCGACGUAACGGGCCAAUUUACAAAUGCUAACGAAAGUUACGCACUUGCUGCUUAAUUAACCUAGUUAAUUAAGUUACGGGGUCUGGGGCACCUGGCAACAGAACGCCCCUAUU
rnacentral:tmRNA from 1 species